UCUCUUCAUCCAUCUCUCACAACAAACAAAAAGAAA
rnacentral:sRNA from 1 species